UACGUAGGGUGCGAGCGUUGCCCGGAUUUAUUGGGCGUAAAGGGCGCGUAGGCGGCUCUGCACGUUCGUUGUGAAAUCGCCCGGCUCAACUGGGCGGGGUCAGCGGAUACGGCAGAGCUUGAGCAAGCUAGGGGGCAAUGGAAUUCCCGGUGUAGUGGUGGAAUGCGCAGAUAUCAGGAGGAACACCGGUGGCGAAGGCGGGUCUCUGGGCAGUAACUGACGCUGAGGAGCGAAAGCGUGGGGAGCGAACAGG
rnacentral:rRNA from 1 species